rnacentral:rRNA from 1 species
GAUGAACGCUGGCGGCGUGCCUAAUACAUGCAAGUCGAGCGAACAGACGAGGAGCUUGCUCCUCUGACGUUAGCGGCGGACGGGUGAGUAACACGUGGAUAACCUACCUAUAAGACUGGGAUAACUUCGGGAAACCGGAGCUAAUACCGGAUAAUAUAUUGAACCGCAUGGUUCAAUAGUGAAAGACGGUUUUGCUUUCACUUAUAGAUGGAUCCGCGCCGCAUUAGCUAGUUGGUAAGGUAACGGCUUACCAAGGCAACGAUGCGUAGCCGACCUGAGAGGGUGAUGGGCAACCGUGGAACGGAGACACGGGCCAGACCCCUACGGGGGGCAGCAGUGGGGAAUUUCCCGAAGGGGGGGAAAGCCUGACGGGGCACCGCCGCGUGGGUAAUGAAGGUUGUGGGACGGAAAAACUCUUUUAUUGGGGAAAAAAAAAUGUGUAAGAAACUAUGCCGGUUGGGAGGGUACCAAAAAAGAAACCCCCGGCAACCCCCG